rnacentral:lncRNA from 1 species
UCGUGUCAACAUUGUUGGGCAUGUUGCAAAAUUGACGUAGUCUACAGCCAAUAACGUGUAUUUUCUUAUAAAAAAUAUUCUUGGUAAAUAUAAUAAAAACAUGAUAUAAUCGAGAGAAAAGUGUUAGAGUUGCAUGGAAAUUAAUGUGAUCUCUUCACUCAGCAAAUGAAUUAUGUUUGUCAAUUGAUUUCAUGAUUUUUUUUUCUUUUACAACUUUUCUGAUUUCUGAUUUUUCUAGCAAUCUGAUUAUGCCUUUAAUUCUUGGUAUGAUAUGGAAACUCCGUAAAAAAUAUAUAUUUGGCUAAACUGAAGAUUUGCUUUGUGCGUGGUGUCUUUUACUCAACUUCAUUAAUUCAUAGUCAAUCACAAUUAUUUAUUGUCUUCGUGUACAGAAGUCUCAACCAAGGUUAAAUUGAACAAGAUACGAAACUUUCAGUGUUUAAAAACAUUCUCAUUCCAGCAUUUUAGUUGAUAAAAAUGUUAAUGAUUUUGAAAUUUAUUUCUUUUAAAAUGAUAUUAUUCAGUAGUUGUACGGAGAUAAU